rnacentral:rRNA from 1 species
CCUACGGGUGGCAGCAGUGGGGAAUAUUGGACAAUGGGGGCAACCCUGAUCCAGCCAUGCCGCGUGUGUGAAGAAGGCCCUCGGGUUGUAAAGCACUUUCAGUGAGGAAGAACGCCUGGUGGUUAAUACCCAUCAGGAAAGACAUCACUCACAGAAGAAGCACCGGCUAACUCCGUGCCAGCAGCCGCGGUAAUACGGAGGGUGCGAGCGUUAAUCGGAAUUACUGGGCGUAAAGCGCGCGUAGGUGGCUUGAUAAGCCGGUUGUGAAAGCCCCGGGCUCAACCUGGGAACGGCAUCCGGAACUGUCAAGCUAGAGUGCAGGAGAGGAAGGUAGAAUUCCCGGUGUAGCGGUGAAAUGCGUAGAGAUCGGGAGGAAUACCAGUGGCGAAGGCGGCCAUCUGGACUGACACUGACACUGAGGUGCGAAAGCGUGGGUAGCAAACAGGAUUAGAUACCCCAGUAGUC